UAAAUACUUCCUCCGUCUCAAAUUUUUUGUUUUAAGGUUGUCUAUAUAUGAAUGUAUCUAGUCACAUUUUAGUAUGUACAUACAUCUAUUUUUAGAUAAACCUAAGACAAUAAUUUUGUGACGGAGGAAUACUUA
rfam:Hordeum vulgare subsp. vulgare, WGS project CAJW01000000 data, contig: morex_contig_2550835